CCUCAGGACUCCGGGGUCCAGUUGGAAAGCGAGGAGACAGGGGCGAACCGGGAGAUCCAGGAUACACGGGUCAGCAAGGUGUUGAUGGUUUUCGAGGCAAACCUGGUGCUCCUGGUCUACCUGGUGAUCCUGGUCCACGUGGAAUACAAGGCCCUAAAGGAUCCAAAGGAGAACAGGGUCAGAAGGGUAAACAGGGUCACCAGGGAGAGCGUGGCAGCAGAGGCACACCGG